ACAAGUACCGUGAGGGAAAGUUGCAAAGUACUUUGAAAAGAGAGUGCAAGAGAACGUGAAACCGGUGUAAUGGAAGCAUAUGGAGUUGACGUAUCUGGUGCGUAUUCAGUUGUUCAUGCGUGGCGAUUGUCGAGCUUUGUUUUUCCGCAAGGUGGACGAGUUUGAUAUUGUUGUUGCGUGUGGCGAUGCAUUUGCGUACGGAGUGCGCCGGGUCGUGCGCUGGUGUCGAUCGAAGCGUUGUUAGAGGACAUGGUUUCGGCCGUGAAACCUGGCGGCGUGUAGGUCGGUUGCUGGUGCGCGGCUUUGUGGAGAAGCGGGUGUUUGAUCGUGCGGUCUCGUGCCGAUUGCGUUAGUUUAUGUUGUACGCAUGCGUGCGACGUUUAUUGGCGUUGUCGGUGCGUGGUCGUACACUGCUUUCUUCCCGGUGUAUAGUCAAUGACCCAUUUGACCCGUCUUGAAACACGGACCAAGGAGUUUACGGUGUACGCGAGUCAUUGGGCCUUGCGGAACCCAAAGGCGUAAUGAAAGUGAGACCGUUAUCGGUAUGUGAAUGUGAUCGGUGUGUUCGUUUCGACGCGCGCUGAGCAACAUUGCCCCGUUUCGAGGACUUGUCCUGUUGCGGAGGUUGAGCGUACGCUGUGAGACCCGAAAGAUAGUGAACUAUGCCUGAACAGGAUGAAGCCAGAGGAAACUCUGGUGGAAGUCCGAAGCGGUUCUGACGUGCAAAUCGAUCGUCUGAUUUUGGUAUAGGGGCGCAAGACUAAUCGAACCAUCUAGUAGCUGGUUCCUUCCGA
rnacentral:rRNA from 1 species